rnacentral:misc_RNA from 1 species
GUCUUGCCGAAAUUUCGACAGAGUUUCCCCUAUAAUUGGACGUAACCCUUUGCAAGAAAAAUAAACCAGCAACAACACACAAGGCCUCAGGCCCAUAAUAACAAUUAUAAUGCCUAUUCGGGACCUAUAAAAAUCCUAAUCUAGGUCUAAUCCUCCAACUCCUGCUCGAGUCUCUAAUUACUUUACGGUUCAAAUAUUUAACUUUAGCAUUUCAAAAAUUAUAAAA